GUCUUUUAGAUAAUAAUUUAAAGUCAAAUCUGCCCACUGAAUAUAAUUUAAAGGGCUGCAGUAUAUUGACUGUACAAAGGUAGCAUAAUCAGUAGUCUUUUAAUUGAAGACUUGUAUGAAUGAUUUGAUGAGAUAUAUACUGUCUCUUUAUUAAAAAUAGAAAUUAAUUUUUUAGUUAAAAAGCUAAAAUAUUUAUAAAAGACGAGAAGACCCUAUAGAGUUUAAUAUUUUAGUAAAUUUGAAUUUUAUAUAAAAUUUUAAAUUUAAAUUUAUUAAAAUAUUUUGUUGGGGUGAUAGAAAAAUUUAAUAAACUUUUUUUAAAAAGUUAACAUUAAUUUAUGAAUAUAUGAUCCAUAAUUUAUGAUUAUAAGAAUAAAUUACCUUAGGGAUAACAGCGUAAUUUUUUUUUUUAGUUCAAAUAAAAAUUAAAGUUUGCGACCUCGAUGUUGGAUUAAGAUAAAAUUUAAAUGCAAAAGUUUAAAAUUUUGAUCUGUUCGAUCAUUAAAAUCUUACA
rnacentral:rRNA from 1 species